AGUAAGUCACAGUCGGGACACUGGUUCCUGUCACUGGGUGCAGCACAAAGAAGGACCCCAGGACAUGCGGUGCAGACGGGAGCACAGAGAGGGAGAAAACCACACACGUGGCCAUUGAUGCCCUUGGUUGACAGAGUUGACGGGAUUUUCUCUGGCUCUCACCUUGAGGGCAUCAUCAGCAUCCUGAAGUCACUAGCGGGCCUCUGUGCAGAUGUCCUUUCGAGGGGCUUCAGGCUGUGGAAGUGACCAGUGAACACAGGACCUGCCUGGACUCCCAGCCUCACAGCACAGCACCACAGCCUGGACUGCCCCCUGCCUGAUACUUGCUUGGUUUGGAACUUUACUCCAUCAAAACAUCCAAAUAAAAAUAUGUAGACUCCCCACCCUAUCCCAUCUGCUAUAGGGUUCUAAUUCCCCCACAGACAUCCCAUCACAGUGCUUUCCCCCAUGACGGGGGACUCCUGAGCUGGACUCCAUCCCUCCCCUACCAGAAAAGCACAGGUGCUGUGGCAUGAGUUCAACCGCCUGAAAUUCCCUGAUCUUCAGAGUAAUAAUUCUAAAAUAGGGCAAUAAUACCCCUGUCAGUGUUCUUGGAAGAACUUCUCAUUACUUGAGGCCCCAGAAAUGCAAACACUCCUCCGGUUUUCCAGCGUGCUGUCAACCCUGGCAUCAGAGCUCUUCCUGCCGUGGGCACUGGUAAUUGACUUACUGGAGAAAGUCAAGCUUUUAAGUCCCAGGAAUAAAGGAUUCCUAUUUCCUUAAGCUAUGUUUAUUUUUACGCUAUUGCUGGUAGAGUCAAUGUGUACUGAGUGAAGAUGAGGCAAGAGUGUCAAAGAGUGAUUUCCAAUAAGAUGAAAAGUGAUCUGCAGUUUCUACUUCCUUAACCAGCAGGAAACGUUUCUCCUGUAGCAUCGGACAGUGGAGGCAGUGGCGCUCAGUGUGGGGCCUCCUGGCUGAAGGAGGGGACAACACGGUGUCCCAUCUCCCUAGAUGCUGUAUGCACCUCACCUGGCUGGUGAUUUACUUGACAGAAACCCAUGUGUGGAGUAGGGAGUGCUGCCUUUGGCAUCUACCCAGUUUCUGCUCUGGACUCUGCCUCUUAGCAAGGGUGACUUGUGGGCCCAAAUCACCUGGUGGCUGUGAGCCACUCCACUCCAGCCUGGGCAAGAGUGAGACCUUGUGUGAAAAUAAAAUAAAAUAUAAAAAUAAAAAUAAGCCGGGAAUGGCGGCUCACAGCUGUAAUCCCAGCACUUUGGGAAGCCAAGACGGGCGGAUCACAUGUGGUCGGGAGUUCGAGACUAGCCUGACCAAUAUGGAGAAACGCUGUCUCUACUAAAAAUACAAAAAAUUAACCGGCUGUUGUGGCUCAUGCCUGUAAUCCCAGCUACUCAGGAGGCUGAGGCAGGAGAGUCACUUGAACCCAGGAGGCAGGCGUUGCAGUGAGCCAAGUUCCUGCCAUUGCACUCCAG
rnacentral:lncRNA from 1 species